rnacentral:lncRNA from 1 species
GCUAUGUGGCGGAAGCAGGCAAUUAAUUUAGUAAAAUGUUUUUCCCCUUCUUUAUGGUAAAACAAGAUGGAAAUGGCAAGUCCUUAUAUAGUUAUACCACUAGUUUUUGGUGUAUUUUCAUACGGAAAAACGUGCCCAAAUGUUUUGAGAUCUGCAACGAACGGUAUUGGGACGUUUCAGAAUGGCACAGUAUAUGAACAAGUACGUUACGGACAUUACAUAGAACUCGACUGUUGCCCUCGUAAAAAGGAUAGUCCACUGAAAUGGAUGAAAUGGAGUAAAGAAACCAAACAGUGGUGUCAAUAUGUGCCAGGUCGCAAAGAGGUUCGUUUUCUGGACAACAAGCAAAUUCUUGCAAUACAAAGUUCAAGGUUUGAAGAUGUCGGUUUAUAUAAAUGUAUCAGUUACAUUAAUUCGUCUGUUACGGAUGUAACAAAAUUCAGCUGAACGUUGUAGCUUGUGAUAAUCUUGCGAGAGGACCUUAUCCCAUUGCACCAUUACCUUGUGGCGAAACAAUUACAAAAGAAAUGAACACAGUAACUCUUCCGUGCACUGGCUAUUUUGGUUGUGGAGAGGAGGGUGAUAUUAGAAUUGUCACCUGGUAUGUUUCUCUUGACAAAUACCAAAAGGAUAACUGGAGACGAGCUACGUCUGUGGACAAACGUUACAAGCAAAUUGAUUUUCAAACGGAUGGUUCGGUGGUGCAAGGCUCAAACCUCACAAUCGAAGGAGUUUCAGCACUUGAUUUUAACCGGAAGUUUAUGUGUUUACUUGCCUCGCCACAGGUGAUGAAAGGACAGAGUAAACUUAUCGUAGCUUUGAAGAGAGAUGACACAGGUAUAUGAAGGACAUAAGCAUAUGUUUUACAACUGACUAAACUAUCAGCUUGUAUCUCGGACAACACGGAAGCAGAUCUAAUAAAUUUAAUCAGCAGAAAAUGUAUGCAUUCAUUGAUAUAACCAUUCGUACACAAUUCUUAUUUAUCACUCUUUUUACCAGCAGGGUCUCCGUGGACAAAUAUCUCGGUGUUUUUGUAUGUUCGGGUUAAGCAUCUUUUUCAACAUCAGAUAUUUCAAGAACAUCCUCUAAUACUUUGAAAAUUGUUUCCUUCUAAAAUUUCUCUUAGUUGAAAAUAAAGAAAUCAGUCGA